rnacentral:tRNA from 1 species
GGGGCUGUAGCUCAGUUGGAAGAGUAUGUCGCUCGCAUUGACAAGGUCAGGGGUUCGAUUCCCCUCAGCUCCA